rnacentral:rRNA from 1 species
GAUGAACGCUGGCGGCGUGCCUAAUACAUGCAAGUCGAGCGAACAGAUGAGGAGCUUGCUCCACUGACGUUAGCGGCGGACGGGUGAGUAACACGUGGAUAACCUACCUAUAAGACUGGGAUAACUUCGGGAAACCGGUGCUAAUACCGGAUAAAAUCUUGAACCACAUGGUUCAAUAGUGAAAGAUGGUUUUGCAGUCACCUAUAGAUGGAUCCGCGCCGCAUUAGCUAGUUGGUAAGGUAACGGCUUACAAAGGCAACGAUGAGUAGCCGACCUGAGAGGGGGAUCGGCCACACUGGAACUGAGACACGGCCCAGACUCCUACGGGAGGCAGCAGUAGGGAAUCUUCCGCAAUGGGCGAAAGCCUGACGGAGCAACGCCGCGUGGGUGAUGAAGGUCUUCGGAUCUUAAAACUCUGUUAUUAGGGAAGAACAAAUGUGUAAGUAACUAUGCACGUCUUGACGGUACCUAAUCAGAAAGCCACGGCUAACUACGUG